rnacentral:rRNA from 1 species
GUGUCAGCCGCCGCGGUAAUACGUAGGGGGCAAGCGUUGUCCGGAUUUAUUGGGCGUAAAGAGCGUGUAGGCGGCCUGACAGGUCUGCUGUGAAAACUCGAGGCUCAACCUCGAGAUGUCGGCGGAAACCGUCUGGCUAGAGUCCGGAAGAGGAGAGUGGAAUUCCUGGUGUAGCGGUGAAAUGCGCAGAUAUCAGGAAGAACACCUAUGGCGAAGGCAGCUCUCUGGGACGGUACUGACGCUGAGACGCGAAAGCGUGGGGAGCGAACAGGAUUAGAAACCCUGGUAGUCC